UCCUUGGCAGUCCAAAGGUUAAGACUCUGCACUUCCACUGCAGAGGGUACAGGUUUGAUCCCUGGUCGGGAAA
rnacentral:tRNA from 1 species